GAAUCACGCGGCUUCUGGAUUUGUGGCAUCGUGACCAGCAAGGGAGGUUGAGAGAACAUUGGAUCAGUAGAAUCAUCAACGACCAGAUCGUCCUCACCAUAGGAGAUUCGGAAGGGUUCGACUCGUAGAGAUUUUGUAGGGAUUCACGCCACUCCCACAUUGACUCCUGGUACUUAAUUGCAAUCCGUCUUCCACCUCCAGCGCAUCGAUCUCGUUCUGUUGGGAAAUCGAGAUCGGGAAGAAGAAGAAACCCUUCAUGAAGAACAAAGAAAUCGAGAAACCCUUCAUCGAGAACAAAGAAGAAGAAAUCAAGAUCGAGAACACUUGAUGAAGAAGAAACCUGGUAGCAGAACAAUAGAAUGUUGAUGAAAUCGGCGAAGAGAACAAAGCUCAGCUGGUUUAACUAGCCUAUAAACC
rnacentral:lncRNA from 1 species